GGCGGCAUAGCCAAGUGGUAAGGCAGAGGACUGCAACUCCUCGAUCACCGGUUCGAGUCCGGUUGCCGCCUCCA
rnacentral:tRNA from 1 species